rnacentral:rRNA from 1 species
CAGUCGCCGCGGGAAUACGUAGGGGGCAAGCGUUAUCCGGAAUUACUGGGUGUAAAGGGAGCGUAGACGGUUAAACAAGUCUGAAGUGAAAUGCCGGGGCUCAACCCCGGAGCUGCUUUGGGAACUGUAGAACUGGAGUGUCGGAGGGGUAAGCGGAAUUCCCAGUGUAGCGGUGAAAUGCGUAGAUAUUGGGAGGAACACCGGCGGCGAAGGCGGCUUACUGGACGACAACUGACGUUGAGGCUCGAAGGCGUGGGUAGCAAACAGGAUUAGAUACCCGCGUAGUCCCUGUCUCUUAUAC